CCACCCUCCGCUCAAACUUUCCUUAUUAUUCACCUGCUGAGGAAACCAGGAAUCUCAUGUGCCUGAGCAGAGAGUGCUGAGCAGUGUCCUGUGUGAUCGGGACUCUGAAACCUAGAAGAAUGCACAUCCGCACCCAGACUGUGGGGUUACUACUGAUCUCGGGUAUCCGAUACAGCCUGAGGCUCCAAGGCAAGACAGGCAAGACAGCCUGCAAUGUCUUCCACGUCCAGCGGGGAGUGAGAGCCCUGCUCUGCUUAUGGGGUGUUAUGAUUUGAAUAUUCAUCAUCCCUGUUUCAUGCUGAAAGGAUUUGGAAGUGGGACCUUGGCAAGAGAUGUAGAACUACCUCCACAGCACCAUGUCUGCCUGCCUGCCACCAUGCUUCCUGUCAUGCUGAUAAUGAACUGUAAACAAGCCUCAAUUAAGUGUUUUCCUUCA